GACGAACGCUGGCGGUGUGCUUAACACAUGCAAGUCGAACGGUAAGGCCCUUUCGGGGGUACACGAGUGGCGAACGGGUGAGUAACACGUGAGUAACCUGCCCUCAUCUCUGGGAUAACAGUCGGAAACGGUUGCUAAUACUGGAUAUGAGCUUGCAAGGCAUCUUGUGGGUUGGAAAGAUUUUUUUUGGUUGGGGAUGGACUCGCGGCCUAUCAGCUUGUUGGUGAGGUAGUGGCUCACCAAGGCUUCGACGGGUAGCCGGCCUGAGAGGGCGACCGGCCACAUUGGGACUGAGAUACGGCCCAAACUCCUGCGGGAGGAAGCAGUGGGGAAUAUUGCACAAUGGACGGAAGUCUGAUGCAGCAACGCCGCGUGCGGGAUGACGGCCUUCGGGUUGUAAACCGCUUUCAAUUGUGACGAAGCUUUUUUGUGACGGUAGCAGUAGAAGAAGCACCGGCUAACUACGUG
rnacentral:rRNA from 1 species